UGUUUUUUAAGAAAAUUUAACCCACAUGUGUCUUAUUCAUUUACAAUGAAAUCAUGGAAUUUUUAAAAAGAGCUGUUUAAUGUCAAAAAAAGUCAUUUUGAUAUUUUAGCUUCCUCCAGUCAAAACCAGAGCUGCAUUUCUCCAUCAGAAAUUGAUUUGAGGAUCAAAGACUGAAAUUCAAUUUGAAACUCUAAACCUUUUCUUCUGAGGUGAAUGUUUAAAAUCCAUCAAGAGAGUUGUCCCUUUUGGAGAACUCAUAACCUGGGGGCAGAUUUUGCUCAUUUAAGACUGUUUCACAAUAGAAUUUGGGACAACUUUUCUGGGGGGACAUUUGAAAUGUCAAAAAUCUUUUUUUUCAAAAGGCAAUAAGGCAAAGGCAAAACCGGUAAGUGUUGUUAUAAUGCUUGUCCAUUCCGAGAGAUCGGAUCAGUUCACCAAAUAUUGAUUAAGCAGUUUAACAUCAAAUUAGAGUUCUCCAGAGAAACAGAACUAAUAGGAUGUGCAUGUUUAUAUAUAAAGAGCUUUAUUAUAAAGAAUUGACUCACACAAUUAGGGAGGCUGAGAAGUCCCAAGACGUGCAGUCCACAAGUUGGAGACCCAGGAAAACUGGUUUGUAGUUCUAGUUCAAGUCUGAAGGUCUGAGAACCAUGAGAGCUGAUGGCAUAAGUUCCAAGCUGAAAGUCGGCAGGCUGGAGAUCCAAGAAGAGCUGCUGUUUCAGUCCGAGUCUGAAGGCUGAGAAAGACCAUGAUCCCAACUCAAACAAGUCAGGUCUUCCUCUAGAUCCUGAUCAAGGCCAAGAUCUGAAGGAAGUGUCCAUAAGGAAUGAUUAACCAUCAUUAGGUUGCUAAACCACUCCAGGACUUUUAACUAGAUGAAGAAAAGAAUAUUUGCCAGCUCUCGUCUCUGAGAACAUUCUUGCCUGUGUUUGGAAGGAAAUACUCUGAUAAACUGCAUGGAGUGUGAGGAAGAAUUGAAUAAAAGGAAGAACUUUCUUGAAUUUCCAACGGUAACUGAAUUUGGGGGCCUUGGUAGAAGGGGUGGUGGAGAAGAGCAAUGGCCCAUAGCGGUGAAGGAGGAAAUGUGAUAUGGGAAAAUACAAAGAUGAAUGAGCAAAAUGGAAAAAUAUUGUUGUUUUUAAGCAAUUUUUAAGAAUUGGUGAAAUUUUCUCUGAGUACCAUACACGCGCACGCACGCACGCA
rnacentral:lncRNA from 1 species